UGGGGAAUAUUGCACAAUGGGGGAAACCCUGAUGCAGCGACGCCGCGUGAACGAAGAAGGUAUUCGUAUCGUAAAGUUCUGUCCUAUGGGAAGAUAAUGACAGUACCAUAGAAGAAAGCUCCGGCUAAAUACGUGCCAGCAGCCGCGGUAAUACGUAUGGAGCGAGCGUUGUCCGGAAUUAUUGGGCGUAAAGGGUACGCAGGCGGUUUAAUAAGUCGAAUGUUAAAGAUCGGGGCUCAACCCCGUAAAGCAUUGGAAACUGAUAAACUUGAGUAGUGGAGAGGAAAGUGGAAUUCCUAGUGUAGUGGUGAAAUACGUAGAUAUUAGGAGGAAUACCAGUAGCGAAGGCGACUUUCUGGACACAAACUGACGCUGAGGUACGAAAGCGUGGGGAGCAAAC
rnacentral:rRNA from 1 species